rnacentral:rRNA from 1 species
AGAUUGAACGCUGGCGGCAGGCCUAACACAUGCAAGUCGAGCGGUAGAGAGGUGCUUGCAUCUCUUGAGAGCGGCGGACGGGUGAGUAAUGCCUAGGAAUCUGCCUAGUGGUGGGGGAUAACGUUCGGAAACGGACGCUAAUACCGCAUACGUCCUACGGGAGAAAGCGGGGGACCUUCGGGCCUCGCGCCAUUAGAUGAGCCUAGGUCGGAUUAGCUAGUUGGUGAGGUAAUGGCUCACCAAGGCGACGAUCCGUAACUGGUCUGAGAGGAUGAUCAGUCACACUGGAACUGAGACACGGUCCAGACUCCUACGGGAGGCAGCAGUGGGGAAUAUGGACAAUGGGCGAAAGCCUGAUGCAGCGACGCCGCGUGAGGGAUGGACGCCUUGGGUCG